rnacentral:lncRNA from 1 species
ACUUUUUAAAAGGUUUUUACUGAUAGCUUACAAUUAAUGACAUUGUAUACAUUCAAAUUUAAAUCAGGUUUUAAAAAUACGCUAAAUGUUUUAGGGUUAGCAUUAUUAUCAAAGAAAAUCAUAGGCUGUCCAGGUCAGAGAGAACAAGGCUCCUCUGGCUCAUGCUAAAGCCAGACAAAUUGUGCCACAGUUGACUAGGACCAUUUCAUAGACAGUGGUGAACCGAGGCAGUGACUCUGUUGACUGGGAACGGCUCAUAGCCCGCUCUAAGCUGAUACGAGCCACACUGGCAUGAGCCACACUGCAGGGCACUCCUGCUGGCUUCCUGCUUCAGCAGUGCCAAGGGAAAGGAGCUGGGGACUUAGAACUCAUCCCAAGACACAGCCACGGGGCCACAGCCACACUACAGGUCCCCUCGCAGGUGGCCACCACCGCCAGGACCCAGAGCCACCUUCCAGACUUGCCACUACUCUGCCCUGGAUGAUGUGACUUGGAAGAACUUUGCCAGCCCCUUGAGGAGAGGAGACAUGCUGACACACUGAUGAUGCCACAGAAUUGAAGUGGCAGAAUCUUCUUCUGGACAUCAGUAACCCAGAUGGGAAGGACUGGGAACACCUGGGUGUAAUGGAUUCACUUCAUGCUGGAGAAAUGUGAGUUGGUUGUUGCUGGAAUUGCACAAAGUAUCCCCAGCAAAAAUCCCUUCCUACUCUGGCAAACGUGCUGGCAGACAGUGACGACUUGAUGCAGCAAUGCGUGUCUGGGUUAGCUUUCGUCAUCCCAGAGCCAUCCACCCCCUUCGUCAACCUCCUGCCCAAUAUAUCUGUGGUGCGUGUACGUGAAUGGGCACUCGUGUGUGUGUGAGAGAGGGA